rnacentral:rRNA from 1 species
UACGGGGAGAGCAAGCGUUGUUCGGAUUUACUGGGCGUAAAGGGCGCGUAGGCGGUCAGCACAAGUCAGUUGUGAAAUCUCCGGGCUUAACUCGGAAAGGUCAACUGAUACUGUGCGACUAGAGUGCAGAAGGGGCAACUGGAAUUCUCGGUGUAGCAGUGAAAUGCGUAGAGAUCAUGAGGAAGACCAGUGGCGAAGGCGGGUCUCUGGACAGUUCCUGACACUGAGGCACGAAGGCCAGGGGAGCAAACGGG